rnacentral:rRNA from 1 species
ACGGUCCUAAGGUAGCGAAAUUCCUUGUCGGGUAAGUUCCGACCUGCACGAAUGGCGUAACGAUGGCCACACUGUCUCCUCCCGAGACUCAGCGAAGUUGAAGUGUUUGUGAUGAUGCAAUCUCCCCGCGGCUAGACGGAAAGACCCCAUGAACCUUUACUGUAGCUUUGCAUUGGACUUUGAACCGAUCUGUGUAGGAUAGGUGGGAGGCUAUGAAGCGUGGACGCCAGUCUGCGUGGAGCCAACCUUGAAAUACCACCCUGGUUUGUUUGAGGUUCUAACCUUGGUCCGUUAUCCGGACUGGGGACAGUGCAUGGUAGGCAGUUUGACUGGGGCGGUCUCCUCCCAAAGUGUAACGGAGGAGUACGAAGGUACGCUAGGUACGGUCGGAAAUCGUGCUGAUAGUGCAAUGGCAUAAGCGUGCUUAACUGCGAGACCGACAAGUCGAGCAGGUGCGAAAGCAGGUCAUAGUGAUCCGGUGGUUCUGUAUGGAAGGGCCAUCGCUCAACGGAUAAAAGGUACUCUGGGGAUAACAGGCUGAUACCGCCCAAGAGUUCAUAUCGACGGCGGUGUUUGGCACCUCGAUGUCGGCUCAUCUCAUCCUGGGGCUGUAGCCGGUCCCAAGGGUAUGGCUGUUCGCCAUUUAAAGAGGUACGUGAGCUGGGUUUAAAACGUCGUGAGACAGUUUGGUCCCUAUCUGCCGUGGGCGCUGGAUAUUUGAAGGGGGCUGCUCCUAGUACGAGAGGACCGGAGUGGACGAACCUCUGGUGUACCGGUUGUCACGCCAGUGGCAUCGCCGGGUAGCUAUGUUCGGAAGAGAUAACCGCUGAAAGCAUCUAAGCGGGAAACUCGCCUUAAGAUGAGAUAUCCCCGGGGCUUCGAGCCCCUUGAAGGGUCGUUCAAGACCAGGACGUUGAUAGGUCAGGUGUGGAAGCGCAGUAAUGCGUUAAGCUAACUGAUACUAAUUGCCCGUAAGGCUUGAUCCU